rnacentral:rRNA from 1 species
UACGUAGGGGGCAAGCGUUAUCCGGAUUUACUGGGUGUAAAGGGAGCGUAGACGGAAAGGCAAGUCAGAAGUGAAAACCCAAGGCUCAACCAUGGGACUGCUUUUGAAACUGUCAAACUAGAGUACGGGAGAGGUAAGAGGAAUUCCUAGUGUAGCGGUGAAAUGCGUAGAUAUUAGGAGGAACACCAGUGGCGAAGGCGUCUUACUAGACCGAAACUGACGUUGAGGCUCGAAAGCGUGGGGAGCAAACAGG